AACGAACGCUGGCGGCAUGCCUAACACAUGCAAGUCGAGCGAGAUCUUCGGGUCUAGUGGCGCACGGGUGCGUAACGCGUGGGAAUCUGCCCUUUGGUUCGGAAUAACAGUUGGAAACGACUGCUAAUACCGGAUGAUGACGAAAGUCCAAAGAUUUAUCGCCAGAGGAUGAGCCCGCGUAGGAUUAGCUAGUUGGUGUGGUAAAGGCGCACCAAGGCGACGAUCCUUAGCUGGUCUGAGAGGAUGAUCAGCCACACUGGGACUGAGACACGGCACAGACUCCUACGGGAGGCAGCAGUGGGGAAUAUUGGACAAUGGGCGAAAGCCUGAUCCAGCAAUGCCGCGUGAGUGAUGAAGGCCUUAGGGUUGUAAAGCUCUUUUAUCCGGGAUGAUAAUGACAGUACCGGGAGAAUAAGCCCCGGCUAACUCCGUGCCAGCCGCCGCAGUAA
rnacentral:rRNA from 1 species